rnacentral:rRNA from 1 species
UGGGGAAUCUUGCACAAUGGGGGAAACCCUGAUGCAGCGACGCCGCUUGAGCGAUGAAGGUUUUCGAAUCGUAAAGCUCUGUCCUAUGGGAAGAUAAUGACGGUACCAUGGGAGGAAGCCCCGGCUAACUACGUGCCAGCAGCCGCGGUAAUACGUAGGGGGCGAGCGUUGUCCGGAAUUACUGGGCGUAAAGGGUUCGCAGGCGGCAUGGCAAGUCCGAUGUAAAAGGCGAAGGCUCAACCUUCGUAAGCAUCGGAAACUGUCAAGCUUGAGUGAAGGAGAGGCAAGUGGAAUUCCUAGUGUAGCGGUGGAAUGCGUAGAUAUUAGGAGGAAUACCGGUGGCGAAGGCGACUUGCUGGACUUAAACUGACGCUGAGGAACGAAAGCGUGGGUAGCAAACAGG